CCUACGGGGAGCUGCAGUGGGGAAUAUUGGACAAUGGGCGAAAGCCUGAUCCAGCCAUGCCGCGUGUGUGAAGAAGGCCUUCGGGUUGUAAAGCACUUUCAGUGGGGAAGAAAGCCUUGGGGCUAAUACCCUCGAGGAAGGACAUCACCCACAGAAGAAGCACCGGCUAACUCCGUGCCAGCAGCCGCGGUAAUACGGAGGGUGCGAGCGUUAAUCGGAAUUACUGGGCGUAAAGCGCGCGUAGGCGGUCUGAUAAGCCGGUUGUGAAAGCCCCGGGCUCAACCCGGGAACGGCAUCCGGAACUGUCAGGCUAGAGUGAAGGAGAGGAAGGUAGAAUUCCCGGUGUAGCGGUGAAAUGCGUAGAGAUCGGGAGGAAUACCAGUGGCGAAGGCGGCCUUCUGGACUGACACUGACGCUGAGGUGCGAAAGCGUGGGUAGCAAACAGGAUUAGAUACCCGUGUAGUC
rnacentral:rRNA from 1 species